rnacentral:tRNA from 1 species
GGCGAAUAUAGCGCAGUUGGCUAGCGCGUCAGAUUGUGGCUCUGAAGGUCACGGGUUCGAAUCCCGUUAUUCGCC